AGAGUUUGAUCCUGGCUCANAUUGAACGCUGGCGGCAUGCCUUACACAUGCAAGUCGAACGGUAGAGGGGCAACCCUUGAGAGUGGCGAACGGGUGAGUAAUAUAUCGGAACGUGCCCAGUCGUGGGGGAUAACGCAGCGAAAGCUGCGCUAAUACCGCAUACGAUCUAAGGAUGAAAGCGGGGGACCGUAAGGCCUCGCGCGAUUGGAGCGGCCGAUGUCAGAUUAGGUAGUUGGUGGGGUAAAGGCUCACCAAGCCAACGAUCUGUAGCUGGUCUGAGAGGACGACCAGCCACACUGGAACUGAGACACGGUCCAGACUCCUACGGGAGGCAGCAGUGGGGAAUUUUGGACAAUGGGCGCAAGCCUGAUCCAGCAAUGCCGCGUGCAGGAAGAAGGCCUUCGGGUUGUAAACUGCUUUUGUACGGAACGAAACGGCGAGCUCUAAUACAGUUUGCUAAUGACGGUACCGUAAGAAUAAGCACCGGCUAACUACGUGCCAGCAGCCGCGGUAAUAC
rnacentral:rRNA from 1 species